ACAGCGCUCAUCGAUAGACUCCAAGAAAAUGAACUUAGUAAGUUGCCAACAGUCCAAGUAGAACACUUAGUUCGUCGUCAUGAUUGCGCAGAAGCUGUUUUUCCUGCUCCUCAUUGUCGUCAUGUGGGUUUCGGCAAACGCCACAUGCAGUGAGGAUGCUGAAUGUGAUAAAUACUGUCCGAUAAAAGAUACUGUCGGUUCCUGCCAAGAGUCCCAAUGUCACUGUGAGCCAGGCCAAGAGCAGCAAGAAUAACGCCUCCGAUUUGUCCUGUUAUCCAAUUUUUCUGCUACCGAUUGUCGGACUUCGUACAAAAAUCAACUACUUUCUUCGCAAGAUGCUGCUCGAUUGGCGUUUGAUGUAAUCAAAAACCCCGAACUCCUUUAAUAAUUCUUCUACUAGACGAUUGACAUGACUUCAUCGGUUAUUGUUAUAAAUUAUUAGAGGAUGAAUUAAAAAAUUAUGAAAUACACAA